AUCGUCAGCAAGGUUCAGAAGGAGGUAUCGACCAAUUAAUUGGCAUGUAAAAUUGACAGGCUUUAUUAGUCAGCCUUGAGAUAAAACAUCUAUUUGGUGGUUUCUGUUUGCUCAAAAAGUAUUAAAUAACUAUGAUGCGCCAGACAUUAUGAAAUUCUUAGGACACUUAUUCAUUUAACUUUUUCUUUCUCCAGAAAGAGCUAAAUCCUUGCCAAAGGCAUUGGGGUUUACUAGUACUCUGUCUUCACUGCUGUACAUAUCAUUUGUAUAAACGCCUUCUGUCUCCGUGCUACAUGAAAUAUGAAAAGCAGUGUUGCUUCAUUGUGAAAAUGUGUACAAAGUAUUUUAUAAUAGCGAUUUAAUCAAAAGCAGCUGGUCUGUAUAAAAUUAUAAUUUUUAUGCAUAAUAGAAAGUGAAGAGAGAGCAGAGGACCUUAGUUUUUAAAUAACCUUAUAACCUUUUUUAUUAAUCUUUCUUUGCCACCCCCCACUUUUUUUAAAUGUGUGGUAAGUUAUUUUAUCUAUUUUCCCCUUGAGCCGCUUUAUAAAUAGCAAUCACUCCGGAAACAAGCCAGUUUCUAUGACUCAAAACAAAACCUAUCUGUUGGCUUUUUUUUUUAUGGCUACUGGAAGAUUAUUUAUUCAUUAAAAUAAAGAUGCGUUAGCUCUGCUCAGCACAGCGCUCUGGACUGUGCUCUUUAAGAUGGCUCUUUGGAAAGGAACAAUCAUCUGGGAACCAGAGCAAAGUGCAGAUGCGGAGGGUGUGUGCAGGAUGGAGAAUCAUCCCAGAUACUGCCACCCAGGAGCACUGCUACACCUGCAUUGGUUGAGCAUCAGAUGCAUGGACCCGACUCUCUUUCACAGUGUGGUCAUCGUUUGAGGACAUUGUAACCCAAGGCUGCUUUAGAACCUAAGAAGCCAGUAGCACUCUUUUCUUGCCAUGUGCCAACUCCACUUUUAAUUUAGUGGCUUGGAAUAAGUCUUCUUCUUUUGAAGAAAAACAUGGUUUUCUGCUGACAAGAUUGUUCUGCAGUUAAAAGCACUUGCCCUAAAGUUGGAUAGCUCACAUUCGAUCCCACGAAUCCAUUUGGCAUGAGACACCAACUCUCCCAAGUUGUCCUCUGACCUUCAUGUUUUGGGGACAUGUGUGCCUCUUCCCAGAAUGAAUAAAGGUCAUAUAUUAAGCCACUGUUUCCUGGCAAAACACUUUAUUUUCUAUAAAACUAUGUGAAGAGGCUGGAUACUUAGUUCAUCAUUAUCCCAAGCUACAAGGAUCCUGCACAAUGUUUGGUCUGUUGUGUACUGAUGUUGAAUUGAUGAAUGGUUUAGGGAAAACAAUUGGUCAUACAUUCGAUACCACUGCUACAUAAUUCACAGAAAAAAAAAUGUGUCCAUAGCGAAUAUAGACUUUUCUCAAGUCUUUUGACAUAUAUUUAGAAAUAAGUCCUUAAAGUACUAAAAUCAUUCACAUAUAGUAGCAAUACUACACACACAUGUAUAAACUAUAUGUAGGUUUUAACAUCCAGAUCUGGGUUUCUCACUGCCAAUGGGGGUCUGCAUUAGGACAGUAGACAGCAGCCAUACUUCCAAUCCAGCCUUCAGUGCUCGCUCAGAAGGUAGGUUCAAAGUAGGGUGCAGGUGACAGAGCUGAGGAGUGGAUUGUUAUGUAAAUUGUCAAGGCUGCACACCUACCAACAUUCAGAAGCAGAUUUGAAAGGCCCUGUCUCGGGCUGCGGGCUGCGUACUAUAGACCGAGCUGAAAAGAGGAGACGCCGAGUGCUUUAGAGAACCAACUCUUUCUUUUCGUCCGGGGAAAAUCAGGGUAAAGCAUUGCAACAGAUGCAAGAAACAAGUCCCUUAGGAUGAGUUUCCUCAGUGGCUAUGUCUUGGCAGAUGCUCUAAGUUUGUGGAGCAAGAUGCUGAUAUUGAUAUUUACGGAACCCAAAUCUUGAACUUAACCCGUAGGUCUCCCUCUGUCUCUUCCCGUUGGAGGUAUGAACAACCUCUCUCAGGACACUAAUAUGAAUUCCGCUGACUAAGAGGGAAUGGAGUGUCCCCCAC